AGCACCUUGGCGCAAUGGAAGCGCGCCGUACUCAUAAUUCGGAGGUACCCCGAUCGAUACGGGGAGGUGCUA
rnacentral:tRNA from 1 species